UGGUACCAUGUAGUGGUUAGGUAACAGUAGGAUACAGGGUUAGUGGUUAGGUAACAGUAGGAUACAGUGUUAGAGGGUUGGUACCAUGUAGUGGUUAGGUAACAGUAGGAUACAGGGUUAGAGGGUUGGUACCAUGUAGUGGUUAGGUAACAGUAUGAUACAGGGUUAGUGGUUAGGUAACUGUAGGAUACAGUGUUAGAG